rnacentral:lncRNA from 1 species
CAACAGUGGUUCAUCACCAUUGAGACUCUGCAUUUUCUGCUAAAAUAUUUCUGACACCAUUGGUUCAUCACCAAUUUCGCAACAGUGGUUUAUAUCUAGCCUCAUAAAAAUAUUUCUGACAUAUCCUCCAAUUUUUAUAAUUUUCUGAGACUGUGCAUUUUCUGCUAAUUUAUCUGUCCUAUUUCCACAGAAAAUUCUAAAUCUUCCGUUUUCGCUCCGAUUUCAGCACAAGUCACUUCUGACUUAUGUUUUACUUCUCUAAAUCCAAUAAAAAUAGUAUCUCACACUAUUUUUAUUUAUUUUCACUUUUAUAUUUAAAAUUCGGUAUGUUACAUUCCACCGCAGCCUCACCGGAACCAUUUAAAUGUACCGUAACUUCAUA